AUCGAACGCUGGCGGCAGGCCUAACACAUGCAAGUCGAGCGGAGCGGCGGACGGGUGAGUAAUGCCUAGGAAUCUGCCUGUUGGUGGGGGAUAACGUCCGGGAACGGGCGCCAAUACCGCAUAAUAUCAGAUGGGCCUCGGGCGGCUUAGCUAGUUGGUGGGGUAAAGGACUACCAAGGCGACGAGCCGUAACUGGGCUGAGGGGAUGAUCAGUCACACUGGAACUGAGACACGGUCCAGACUCCUACGGGAGGCAGCAGUGGGGAAUAUUGGGCAAUGGGCGAAAGCCUGAUCCAGCCAUGCCGCGUGAGUGAAGAAGGUCUUCGGAUUGUAAAGCACUUUAAGUUGGGAGGCGUUACCAACAGAAUAAGCACCGGCUAACUUCGUGCCAGCCGCCGCGGUAAUAC
rnacentral:rRNA from 1 species